rnacentral:rRNA from 1 species
CGCGAAGAACCUUACCUGGGCUAGAAUGCUGGGAGACUGUGAGUGAAAGCUCAUUUUGUAGCAAUACACUGCCAGUAAGGUGCUGCAUGGCUGUCGUCAGCUCGUGCCGUGAGGUGUUGGGUUAAGUCCCGCAACGAGCGCAACCCCCAUCGCUAGUUGCCAUCAGGUAACGCUGGGAACUCUAGUGAAACUGCCGUCGUAAGACGUGAGGAAGGAGGGGAUGAUGUCAAGUCAUCAUGGCCUUUAUGCCCAGGGCUACACACGUGCUACAAUGGGGCGUACAAAGGGCUGCAACAUAGCGAUAUGAAGCUAAUCCCAAAAAACGCCUCUCAGUUCAGAUUGGAGUCUGCAACUCGACUCCAUGAAGCUGGAACCGCUAGUAAUCGUAUAUCAGCAAUGAUACGGUGAAUACGUUCCCGGGCCUUGUACACACCG